AACAAAUAAUGAGGAGGCUGUUGAAAACAGUCUAGUAGAUUUAUCUGACAGACAUUCAGGAAUCUAUUCAUGUAUUCCACUGAAGAAUGAGCAAGAGCUUGCUUCUCCAAAAAUGCUAUAUGCCACCACCUGUGUUUUCUUCUCAGUACAAUUACUAAAACUCUUUGGCAUGUCAACAUGACAAACUUGAGUCUUAGUUAAGUAACAUGACACAGUAAGAAGAGAAUUGCCUCAGUCUUGUGCCUUGUUGUUAGAUGGUAGGUCAGAGCACUAUGGCUCAUGAUGGCAUGGCAGUAAAGGGCACAUCCUAUAAGGCAAUACUAAUUGCUCUGCCAUCUGGCAUUCUUUUGACUUUUUUGUAACUCAUGAUUUGGAAUAAUGGGCCAUUCCAUGCCAAUCCACCUAAAGACUGGGAAAUUGAUCCAGACCCACCCCAGACGUUUUGGAAAAAACAUGUUGUACAGUGCUAUGGAAAUGAUUGCAUGAGUGACAACUGAUCACUUCCACGCAACCUUAGAUUGCCAGCUUUUACUAGUUGUUUGUUGAAAUCAUUUGGCAUAAUAAAGGACAUAUUUCCUCUUGUGGCGAAGGGGUAUGAUGAAUGCUGUGUAAACAGGUAGAGCCAUAUGAGAAAAAAGCUGUAUAAAUAAUUUGACUUUUUUAUUGUCUUGCAAUUGUUAGUGCAAAAUAUUCACAUGUACAUUGUUCAUAUUCUACAGAUAACACAUUCAACAAAAACACAUUUAAGUGAAAGGGGUAAGUACUCAAAAGACUGCAUAGACAUGCCACAAUGUUGUUAGUUUUUAUCCUGUUCUUGACCAUACAACAUUCUCAGAGUGCAUUGCUAAAUCUUCUCAAUAUUUUCCAUAAUUAUUUAUAUAUAUAUAUAUAAAAAAGAAAACUAUAUUCUUUGGCUUUUCAUGGUUCAUUACUAACAUAACAUUAAACUUCUGCAAAGUGUUCCAAAACAGCAUGUUUAGACAAAACCCAUUCAGACCUUUAACCCGUUACAUGCUGAAUGAAAAAGAAAAAAACUAUACUCACGCUCACAUCCAUUAUUUAAAAAGAAAGACACUUAAAAACUAUUUACGACUGACUAUUUUUUCACUUUACCAGGGAAGUGUAGCCCCAUGUGUGACUUGCAUAUCAGUACUUAGACUGAGAGCUACCCUGACUCUCAUAUUGAGAGUGAGGUAAAAUGUUAAAACUACACCAACAUUCUAAAAUAUUGUGACCGUCACAACACACCUGUGACAGUCAGAAUGUGAUUAUUUCCUUAGACCACAGUAUUUCAGCUAAAUACAGCAUGUUUACCAUCUAUGAUAUGUAUGAGUUCUCAAAAACAUGUAGCAAAUGUUUGUUUUCCAUUAAUAGAAAUUCAGUAAAAAUCUUACAUUCAGUAAUAACAAAUAUCACAGUUUGUUUUCCUUUAUGACACAAUGAUUGCUCCUGGACUCCUACUGCGCUACUUUUAUGAAUGAUCAACAAAGUGCCCUUUUCAAUGUGUUCAUAAUCACAAGAAAGAGUACUAUGGUAAGAUGCACUUGUGUUUCAAAACAUCAACCUGGAUCUGAUCAUAUGAUCCGUGCUGCCUCAGACAGAUCAUAUCAGAGUACCGAAUAAUGGAAUCAUGUUGUAUACUGUAUAUAUAUAUAUAUAUAUAUAUAUAUAUAUAUAUACAGUAUUUGUUCUGCACUUUUAGUUUCCAAAAGGACCAUUUUCCCUGCAUACAGGAAGGAGCUCAGUAAACCUCUCACCAAAUUAUAUAUUACUUCAAAUAUUGUGAAAAGUUUACCUUUUUGUAGGUUUGAUGCUAUCCUGUCCUACCCUGACCUGUGUGUGCAAGCACCUGUGUGCUGACUCAGUUGGCCAGCUGUCCGUUAAGUAUGGAUGAAGAUUACAAACUAAAAGCAGUUAGAUGGAUACUUAGAGCUCCAUGUCUCCACUAAUUGAUUAACCACCGACAGACUGCAACACCUGAUUCCUAGAAGAUCCUUUUCUUGAAAGGGAGAACUAAGAUGAUUUCUAAACGGCUCAAGCACUGAGUCGGAGUGAGCUCAAUGAUUGCUUUCAAAGGGCAAUCAAAAGGGCCUUGGAUUGAGUUCAGAAUGACCUCCAUCAUGUCGGCAUAGGGCUUAGUUCAGCACCUAAACAAAAUUCUGUUAAAAAAUCAGUUGAAGCCUCUGCUCUUCAUCUGUAGUGUGCAGGUUAGGAGUGUUAAGAGUAACCUCUACCUGCUUGCAUAGGAACUGAUUCUGCACCUAAACAGAGGUGUGUUGAAUCCUUUUCUAUUUGUUACAUGUGUAAGUGAGAACGUUAUUGCGACCUGUCCUUAAGGAAGACAUACAAGCAGACAUUAGGUUAGAGUGGGCAAGGUUGGGAACCAUCCAGGUUUGACAGUGGUGUUGUCAUUGAUGAAGUUCAAGGUUGGGAACCAUCCAGGUUUGACAGUGGUGUUGUCAUUGAUGUAGUUCAAGGUUGGGAACCAUCCAGGUUUGACAGUGGUGUUGUCAUUGAUGCCGUUCAAGUUUGGGAAGAAGAAAAAGAACCCACUGUUCCAUGAAACAUUGAUGUCAUAAUGCCUCAUGUUGCAGUCACCAAUCAAAACCUAGCAGCUUAUAAGACUGUCACACAAUGGCCUUGCAGGCAUUCAUCUGCACAAGCAGUUCUACAAACACCUCAUCUUGUGAGGUUUGCUUUGGUCAUCAAACUGAGAAACUUCACAAAAGUCUCGGAAAAGUCCUUACAGUCACCAAAGAUAAAAGUCUUCAGAUGUAAA